rnacentral:rRNA from 1 species
UACCAGCACCCCGAGUGUUCGGGACGAUUAUUGGGCCUAAAGCAUCCGUAGCCGGUCAUGCAAGUCUGCCGUUAAAUCCAGCCGCUCAACGGUUGGGCUGCGGAGGAUACUACGUGGCUAGGAGGCGGGAGAGGCAAGCGGUACUCAGUGGGUAGGGGUAAAAUCCUUUGAUCCAUUGAAGACCACCAGUGGCGAAGGCGGCUUGCCAGAACGAGCUCGACGGUGAGGGAUGAAAGCUGGGGGAGCAAACCGG